GACUUGGUGGUUCAGUGGUAGAAUGCUCGCCUGCCACGCGGGCGACCCGGGCUUGAUUCCCGUCCAAUGCA
rnacentral:tRNA from 1 species